AAUAAUACUGUAAUAUGUAUUAUAAUAACUAUGUAUGGUGCCAGGUGGGUACUGUAAAUAUGAGGGGGAACACUUGGUAAAAUAUAUGAUUGUCUAACCACUAUGGUGUACACCUGAAACUAAUAAAAAUAA